ANAGUUUGAUGCUGGCUCAGAUUGAACGCUGGCGGCAUGCUUUACACAUGCAAGUCGAACGGUAACGCGGGCUUCGGCCUGGCGACGAGUGGCGAACGGGUGAGUAAUACAUCGGAACGUAUCCUGGAGUGGGGGAUAACCUCGAGAAAUCGAGGCUAAUACCGCAUGAUCUCUAAGGAGCAAAGCGGGGGAACCGUAAGGUCCUCGCGCUGUUGGAGCGGCCGAUGCCGGAUUAGCUUGUUGGUGGGGUAAAGGCCUACCAAGGCGACGAUCCGUAGCUGGUCUGAGAGGAUGAUCAGCCACACUGGAACUGAGACACGGUCCAGACUCCUACGGGAGGCAGCAGUGGGGAAUUUUGGACAAUGGGGGCAACCCUGAUCCAGCCAUGCCGCGUGCGGGAAGAAGGCCUUCGGGUUGUAAACCGCUUUCAUACGGGACGAAAUGGUGCAGGUUAAUACCCUGUACUGAUGACGGUACCGUAAGAAGAAGCACCGGCUAACUACGUGCCAGCAGCCGCGGUAAUACGUAGGGUGCGAGCGUUAAUCGGAAUUACUGGGCGUAAAGCGUGCGCAGGCGGCUCUUUAAGACAGGUGUGAAAUCCCCGGGCUUAACCUGGGAAUUGCGCUUGUGACUGGGGAGCUCGAGUGCGGCAGAGGGGGAUGGAAUUCCUGGUGUAGCAGUGAAAUGCGUAGAUAUCAGGAGGAACACCGAUGGCGAAGGCAGUCCCCUGGGUCGACACU
rnacentral:rRNA from 1 species